rnacentral:rRNA from 1 species
UACAGAGGGUGCAAGCGUUAAUCGGAAUUACUGGGCGUAAAGCGUGCGUAGACGGUUAUUUAAGUCGGGUGUGAAAGCCCCGGGCUCAACCUGGGGAAUUGCAUUCGAGACUGAAUAGCUAGGGUGCGGAAGAGGGAAGCGGAAUUUCCGGUGUAGCGGUGAAAUGCGUAGAUAUCGGAAGGAACACCAGUGGCGAAAGCGGCUUCCUGGUCCCAGCACCGACGUUUCAGGCACGAAAGCGGUGGGGGAGCAAACAGGG